rnacentral:piRNA from 1 species
UCUGAAUCUCAGAACUAGCCUUGGACAUAUC